CUUUGGGAUAACCCUCGGAAACGGGGGCUAAUACUGGAUAGGACCUGCUGCCGCAUGGUGGUGGGUGGAAAGUUUUUCGGCUUGGGAUGGGCUCGCGGCCUAUCAGCUUGUUGGUGGGGUGAUGGCCUACCAAGGCGACGACGGGUAGCCGGCCUGAGAGGGCGACCGGCCACACUGGGACUGAGACACGGCCCAGACUCCUACGGGAGGCAGCAGUGGGGAAUAUUGCACAAUGGGCGGAAGCCUGAUGCAGCGACGCCGCGUGAGGGAUGACGGCCUUCGGGUUGUAAACCUCUUUCAGCAGGGACGAAGCGUAAGUGACGGUACCUGCAGAAGAAGCGCCGGCCAACUACGUGCCAGCAGCCGCGGUAAGACGUAGGGCGCGAGCGUUGUCCGGAUUUGUUGGGCGUAAAGAGCUCGUAGGCGGCUUGUCGCGUCGACUGUGAAAACCCGCGGCUCAACUGUGGGCUUGCAGGCGAUACGGGCAGGCUAGAGUUCGGCAGGGGAGACUGGAAUUCCUGGUGUAGCGGUGAAAUGCGCAGAUAUCAGGAGGAACACCGGUGGCGAAGGCGGGUCUCUGGGCCGAUACUGGCGCUGAGGAGCGAAAGCGUGGGGAGCGAACGGGAUUAGAUACCCUGGUAGUCCACGCUGUAAACGUUGGGCGC
rnacentral:rRNA from 1 species